CAUUAAAUGACUGAAAGUUAGUAAUGGUCUCUUAAACCAUAAAAUAAUAUUUUAACGA
rnacentral:tRNA from 1 species